rnacentral:lncRNA from 1 species
AAAUCUCCCGUUAGCCAAUUCCGCCUCGCAGACACCGCCUUUCGACUAGAUAUAUUCGCUGCCCGUUUCUUGAUCGGAUCGAUUAAUAUCCAGUUAAGCCUCAUACUCUCUUCCAUAUCUUUCACCCACGCUUCGUAAUCCCCACCCGGAUAUCGAAUCCGGGUUUGUACCGACUCUUUCGGGUCGAGUAUAUCGACCCGAAACGGCGAUGACAAGAACCAUCCUGAUUUACCUUUCUCUGUUUCCAUCUCUUGUAUCUUCGAGUAGAUAAUCUCUCCUCUAUAGUAUAAAUCAACGGCUGAGAUUAAUCCCGUCGGUGGAUCAUGUUUUUCGGACUGCCACGUGUGUUCAGUGAACGGGUACGAGUCAGCAAAAAAAGAACGGUAACCGGAAGGG